rnacentral:rRNA from 1 species
GACGAACGCUGGCGGCGUGCCUAAUACAUGCAAGUCGAGCGAAGUUUUUCUGGUGCUUGCACCGGAAAAACUUAGCGGCGAACGGGUGAGUAACACGUAAAGAACCUGCCUCAUAGACUGGGACAACUAUUGGAAACGAUAGCUAAUACCGGAUAAUAGCAUUAACUGCAUGGUUGAUGUUUAAAAGUUGGUUUUGCUAACACUAUGAGAUGGCUUUGCGGUGCAUUAGCUAGUUGGUGGGGUAAAGGCCUACCAAGGCGACGAUGCAUAGCCGACCUGAGAGGGUGAUCGGCCACACUGGGACUGAGACACGGCCCAGACUCCUACGGGAGGCAGCAGUAGGGAAUCUUCCGCAAUGGGCGAAAGCCUGACGGAGCAACGCCGCGUGAGUGAAGAAGGAUCUCGGUUCGUAAAGCUCUGUUGUUAGGGAAGAAUGAUUGUGUAGUAACUAUACACAGUAGAGACGGUACCUAACCAGAAAGCCACGGCUAACUACGUG